UUUUCCUUCUCUAAUAUUAUUUUACAUUUUUUUCAUUUAAUAUUUAUUUGGACAAACUCUCUCUUUCUCUCUCUAUAGUAGAACUCUAUUACAGUCAUCGGCCUUGAUCUUCCAUUAACUUCAGAUCCAGACAUGUUCAAGCAAUUCAACACUCCUUCUGCCCAAAAGACGAAAAUUGAUGAAGGGAGCAGCCUGAAUCCUCCAAUCAAGGUCAUGAGGACUACACCGCCUAACCAGGGGAGACCAUCCGAUCAGUUAGUCACUAUCCCACACUUGACUCCUCUGUCUAUUCCUUCUCCUGCUAGCCUUUAAAAUACUCAAUCAGCCUACUUAAGCGAGCCCCUUCGCAUUGCUGGUGAGUAUGGAAAAGAGUUACUAGACCAUACUCUUCACCACUCAACGAUAACUCAGACCUUUGAGACUCUACCCCGACAAAGCGUUGAGGUUGUCCUUCACAAAGGCCUUGCUCAAAUUAUGAGUGACGCUCUAUUGGCUCAUCGGAAUGCCGACUUGGCGGCCGAGAUUGCCAUGAAGAUGGAGACGAUCCAGCUAGAGCUGGAGGCAGCUGUGAACCAGUGGGAAGCCACUAAGGAAUCCCUGGCCAAGGAGGUUGAAGAGGCCGCCCGGACUAAGUUUCAACUUGAAGAGACUAUGUCUCGGAGAGAAGCCGAGACUGGCAAGUUGGUGGCCAGUCUAAAGGCGGAGCUCCUCCAAGUAAAGGUUCUGCAGGAGGCGGCCGCAACCCAGUCUACUUAGGAUCGGGAGAAGAUCACCAAUCUGGAGUCCCAGGUCAGUGAAUUAGACGAGUUGCUCCAGCAGGAGGUGAAGGCGCAUGACGUGACCCGCCAUGAGAAAGAAAAGGCGGAUGCCAUGUUGGAGGUUACCUUCGACGAGGCUAUCUACAUGGCCUGGCUUCAAGACAAAAACAUGAACCUCCUACUCUACCCCGACCCUGCCGCGAAGAGGGUCGAAUUUGAGGCAAAGGAGAAAGCUGACGCGGAACCCCUGGACAAGGAUGAGGCGGAUGGAGCCAUCUCGGAUGCGUCAGGGCAUGGUGAAGCCUAGGCCCUGGUCAUCUUUUUGUUUUUGUUUUUGUUUUUAAUUUUGUAACACUUUUACGGACGCGGGUGCGUCUAAGACAAUUUUUGUGUUCUUACCCACGUUAUAUAUAUAUAUAUAUUUUGCAUAUUGCUCUCCCA